AUGGAUUCGGAUGAAGAGGUGGAUUGGAUAGGGAUUGCUGCCACUGUCGAACUCGAAGAAGCUGAAGCUGAGGCUGCUGCUGCCGAAGAAGCUGCGGCUGCUGCUGCCGAAGAAGCUGCGGCUUCAACGCACAGAUCAACAAACCGGAAGCGGCAACAUGACUCCGACGACCGGCAGGGCGUUCCUCCGGCAUUUAAUUUAUCUGAUGUGGAUUCUGAUCCUGGCACACGUAAGCAAAUUGAAGAGUAUGCAACUCCAGAAAUUAGAGAUGAAAUGAGAAGGGCAUAUUUGUCAAAAGGUGUGGGCCGUUUGUAUGGUCAUGAUUUUCCUCGAACUCUUUUUGGGAAAGAUUGGCGGAACUUCAAAGAAGCAUGGUAUAAAGAUUAUGACUGGCUCGUGUAUAGUAAAGAGACAAAAUCUGCCUAUUGUUUCCAUUGUUUUCUUUUCAAAUCUCCAAGCAUUGGUGACAAGUUUGGCCAUGAUGUCUUCACUAAGAAAGGGUUCAAAAAUUGGAAGAAGGCAGUGGAAAUAUUCAAUGCUCAUGUAGGUGGACCAAAUAGCGCUCACAACAAUGCUAGAAGACGGUGUGAAUAUUUCAAAAACCAAAAGCAAAGUGUGUCGUAUGCAAUGACUUCUCAUACUGAGAAAUCACAUAUUGAAUAUGAAGAGCGUUUGAGGGCUGUUGUAGGUGUGGUAAGUGCCUCGUGUAAAAGGAAAGAUGCAUUGUUGCAGAAGCAUCAUGACAACCUGGUUUUACAGUUGGAGCAUGGGGAGAUUUUGUCAGGAAAAGGCCAGCAUCAAGAGACAAGUUUAGCAAGACCCGGUGAUACACGAUGGGGGUCACACCACAAGACUCUAAUCCGGAUAUAUCAAAUGUGGGAUUCCGUGGUUGAAGUGCUACAUGGUAUCUCUCUUGAUGGAGCAGAUGCUGAUGAUAGAGGUUUGGCUUCUGGCUUUAUGGUAAACAUGGAAACUUUUGAAUUUGUUCUUAUCUUGCAUUUGAUGCUUCGAGUGCUCGGUUUAACCAAUGAUUUGUCACAAGCAUUGCAACAAAAAGAUCAGAAUAUAGUCUGUGCUAUGAAUAUGAUUGUGUCAGUGAAAAGUCUAUUACAAAAGUUGAGAGAUGAUGGAUGGGAGCCUCUCUUGAUAUCUACUACUACCUUUUGUGCUGCAAAAAAUAUAAUAGUGCCCAAUAUGGAUGAUAACAUUUCAGCAAGGGGUUACCCAAGAAGAUCACGCAAAAUGGUUACUUGUCUCCAUCAUUACAAGGUAACUAUAUUCAAUGAGGUGCUGGAUAGAAACAUAGUUGAGAUGAAUAAUCGAUUUAGUGAAACUUCUACACGCUUGUUGAAGUGCAUUGCUUGCCUUGAUCCUAGAGACUCAUUUAGCAACUUUGAUCAUGAUAAGCUAGUUGAGCUUGCAAAUAUUUACUCAAUUGAUUUCUCUUCACAAGAGCGCUAUCUGUUGACUGAUCAACUCAACAUAUAUAUUGAUGUGAUGAAAAGAAGUACUGAAUUCUUGGCUUGCGAUAGUUUGAGUUCUCUUGCUCUCAAGUUGGUUCAGAGUAGACAACAUCUGGUAUUUCCAUUGGUUUAUCGGCUCAUCAGACUUGCAUUGACAUUACCGGUGGCAACUGCAUCAGUUGAGAGGGUUUUCUCAGCCAUGAAUAUUAUAAAGACUGAUCUUCGAAACAAGAUGGGUGAUGAUUGGCUUAAUGAUUUGAUGGUUUGCUUUGUUGAGCGCGAGAUAGUUGCUAAAAUUAGUGAUAAAGAGAUUAUGGUUCAUUUUCAUGCCUUGAAGAACCGUCAAGGUCAUCUACCUCCAGAACCUCGUGUUCAUUAUGCAAUUACGUCUUAA
rnacentral:rRNA from 1 species